GACGAACGCUGGCGGCGUGCUUAACACAUGCAAGUCGAACGGAAAGGCCCUGCUUUUGUGGGGUGCUCGAGUGGCGAACGGGUGAGUAACACGUGAGUAACCUGCCCUUGACUUUGGGAUAACUUCAGGAAACUGGGGCUAAUACCGGAUAGGAUCUCCUGCUGCAUGGUGGGGGUUGGAAAGUUUCGGCGGUUGGGGAUGGACUCGCGGCUUAUCAGCUUGUUGGUGGGGUAGUGGCUUACCAAGGCUUUGACGGGUAGCCGGCCUGAGAGGGUGACCGGCCACAUUGGGACUGAGAUACGGACCAGACUCCUACGGGAGGCAGCAGUGGGGAAUAUUGCACAAUGGGAGGAAGCCUGAUGCAGCAACGCCGCGUGCGGGAUGACGGCCUUCGGGUUGUAAACCGCUUUCGCCUGUGACGAAGCGUGAGUGACGGUAAUGGGUAAAGAAGCACCGGCUAACUACGUG
rnacentral:rRNA from 1 species